rnacentral:rRNA from 1 species
GACGAACGCUGGCGGCGUGCCUAAUACAUGCAAGUUGAGCGAUGAAGCUUGGUGCUUGCCCCAAUUUGAAGAGCAGCGAACGGGUGAGUAACGCGUGGGGAAUCUGCCUUUGAGCGGGGGACAACAUUUGGAAACGAAUGCUAAUACCGCAUAACAACUUUAAACAUAAGUUUUAAGUUUGAAAGAUGCAAUUGCAUCACUCAAAGAUGAUCCCGCGUUGUAUUAGCUAGUUGGUGAGGUAAAGGCUCACCAAGGCGAUGAUACAUAGCCGACCUGAGAGGGUGAUCGGCCACAUUGGGACUGAGACACGGCCCAAACUCCUACGGGAGGCAGCAGUAGGGAAUCUUCGGCAAUGGACGAAAGUCUGGCCGAGCAACGCCGCGUGAGUGAAGAAGGUUUUCGGAUCGUAAAACUCUGUUGGUAGAGAAGAACGUUGGUGAGAGUGGAAAGCUCGUCAAGUGACGGUAACUACCCAGAAAGGGACGGCUAACUACGUG